GGGCCGGUAGCUCAGCUGGUAGAGCACCGCCCUUUUAAGGCGGGCGUCCCGAGUUCGAUUCUCGGCCGGCUCACCA
rnacentral:tRNA from 1 species